rnacentral:rRNA from 1 species
UACGGGGGGGGCAAGCGUUGUUCGGAAUUACUGGGCGUAAAGGGCUCGUAGGCGGCCAACUAAGUCAGACGUGAAAUCCCUAGGCUCAACCUAGGAACUGCGUCUGAUACUGGAUGGCUUGAAUCCGGGAGAGGGAUGCAGAAUUCCAGGUGUAGCGGUGAAAUGCGUAGAUAUCUGGAGGAAUACCGGUGGCGAAGGCGGCAUCCUGGACCGGCAUUGACGCUGAGGAACGAAAGCCAGGGGAGCGAACGGG